rnacentral:pre_miRNA from 1 species
AUAAUUGCUAAUGCAGCAUCAUCAAGAUUCUCAUUGCUCUAUAGCAAUGUGAAUCUUGAUGAAACUGCAUUUGCAAGCAA